rnacentral:misc_RNA from 1 species
GAUGAGAACGCAGCGAAAUGCGAUAAGUAAUGUGAAUUGCAGAAUUCAGUGAAUCAUCGAAUCUUUGAACGCACCUUGCACCCUUUGGCAUUCUGAAGGGUAUGCUCGUUUGAGUGUCAUUGUACUCUCACACUCCCGAUCUUUGCAUUGGGAGCAGUGGACUUGGGUUUGCUGCUUCACCGUCGCUUACCUCAAAUAGGUUAGUGCAACUCUUGGUUGGACAUAGUACGGCGUGAUAAGUGUUCUUCGCCGGUGCCUCGCAAAGAGGGUGGCCGAUCGGGAUGUUGUGCUCCAAACCGUCUUCGGACAAUCUCUGACGACUUGACCUCAAAUCGAGUAAGACUACCCGCUGAACUUAAGCAUAUCAAUAAGCGGAGGA